UUUCCCAAUUUAGCAUAACCACCACCAGUAUCUCACUGUUAGCUAAUCCCACACUCCCUACUUACUUCUGUAUUUCCUCCUUCCUAUGACUCGGAUUCUUUCAAGAGGGGGGUUUCAUAAAACUUAUCUUCCAAUUUUUUAUGAUCUUUUUGACCUUUCUUUUGCGACUGACAGGUCAGUGGGUCUUUUUCCUUUUUGCUCUUUUUGUUGUCCUUGGCCAGUCCUCCUCUUACAUGAAAAAAGAAAAAAAUUAAGUUAAACAAAUGAAAAAAAAAAAAAAAAAAACACUUGGCAGGUAAGUAUGUGUUCAUAGGUGUGAAUGUCACAACCAGCGACUACAUUCGUGGUCUUCUUAUUGCAGACUCCUCCAGAAGCAAGGAACUGCCAGUCCAGUACAUCACAGGAGGCAUUGCUAUUGGGCGGCAAAAAAAAUUCACCCUUCAGGAAGAUAUUUGACCACAGUCUGCAGAAGAUGUGUGAGUCAGGCCUGAUGAACAAGCUGAGGACCAAAUGGCUAUCAGCAGGAACCUCAACAUGUGGCAGGAAGACUAAAAAUCACAGCCAGCCUCUCUGAUGUGGCUGCAGUCUUCAUCCUCUUGAUGGGUGGUGCAGCAUUUAGCUGUCUGCUGCUGCUGCUGCUGCUGCUGCUGCUGGAGUAUGUGGUACAACAUGCAAGACAGAGGUGGUGGAUGAUGAGUUCCUGGGGAUUGCUGACCUCAAUGAAGCACAGACAUAACAAGAGAUGGGAGACCUGCACUGUUAAAGCCUUAAGCAUUCUAAUCACAUUCCAUGUAACUCUCUUCACUCUUAGAUCCCUUAUUGGGUAUUCUUAUGUAUAGUUGCUCGCAAAUAUGGAGUUUAGUUAUAA